CACGUAGGGGCCAAGCGUUGUCCGGAUUUAUUGGGCGUAAAGAGCUCGUAGGCGGAUUUGUAAGUCAGGGGUGAAAUCCCGGGGCUCAACCUCGGAACUGCCUUUGAUACUGCGAAUCUUGAGUCCGAUAGAGGUGGGUGGAAUUCCUAGUGUAGAGGUGAAAUGCGCAGAUAUCAGGAGGAACACCGGUGGCGAAGGCGGGUCUCUGGGCCGACACUGACGCUGAGGAGCGAAAGCGUGGGGAGCGAACAGG
rnacentral:rRNA from 1 species